AUCGCAGCCUCCCACGUCCUUCAUCGGCUCCUGGUGCCAAGACAUCCACCGUGCGCCCUUAAUAACUUGGCCACAAAGAUAAAGAUGCUCGCGUCCACUGUGCAGUUCUCAAACUACGAACGGAAACCAGCCGCACCUGCAGGACCCACCACCACCACAAACAGCGGUAUCCCACGACGAACCAGCCCGCAAACCUGCCUCCCACCAACCCCAACGGGCCAGCAGAAGGCAGGGUCAUACACGAGGGCAUCUCACUCCCUCAAAACCCAACAGCGUACCGCCCACCCCCACCAGCCACCACCCGAAAAACACAGAGGAACCCCGGACAACAACCAGACCAGAAAGAACAUAGUCGGCGUUCCUCACCCAUGAUCACCCCAG
rnacentral:rRNA from 1 species